GCAAACUUGGUCAUUUAGAGGAAGUAAAAGUCGUAACAAGGUUUCCGUAGGUGAACCUGCGGAAGGAUCAUUAUUGAAUAUAAAUUUGGUUUAGAUUGUUGCUGGCUCUUCGGAGCAAUUGUGCACAUCUAUUCCGACUUUAUUAACCCUCCCACCUGUGCACAUUGUGUAGAUCUGGAUUAUUUUUCGAGUGGCUUCACUUGGAUUAAAGAAUCGCCGUCUGGCUUUUCUUUUAUUAUUCAGAAUCUAUGUUUUACAAUACCCGAUAUAAAAAGUUAUCAGAAACAUGUAAAUGGUUGUUAUAAACCAACAUAAUAUUAUACAACUUUCAACAACGGAUCUCUUGGCUCUCGCAUCGAUGAAGAACGCAGC
rnacentral:misc_RNA from 1 species